rnacentral:rRNA from 1 species
GACGAACGCUGGCGGCGUGCUUAACACAUGCAAGUCGAACGAAGUGGCGAACGGGUGAGUAACGCGUCAUCAACCUGCCCUUCAGAGGCGGACAACAGUUGGAAACGACUGCUAAUACCGCAUACUGAAGGAGGGGCUUGCGUCUGAUUAGCUAGUUGGGGGGGUAACGUCCCACCAAGGCGAUGAUCAGUAGCCGGUCUGAUAGAAUGAACGGCCACAUGUGGACUGUGACACGGCCCGGACUCCUACGGGAGGCAGAAGUGGGGAAUCGUCCGCAAUGGACGAAAGUCUGACGGAGUAACGCCGCGUGAGUGAUGACGGCCGUCGGGUAGUAAAGCUCUGUUAAUCGGGACGCGGUACCGGAAUAGAAAGCCACGGCUGACUACGUGCCAGCAGCCGCGGUAAUAC